UCAUUAUAAUUUGAUAAUUUUAUUUUUAUAUUUGUUUUUGUAUUUGUUAUUUGUUUAUUUUAAUCAUUAUUUUGUUUUUGUAUUUGUUUCUGAUUUAAUUUUUUCUAUUAUAGCUUAGUUAGUACUGUGAGGGGUUAAAUUUAUAUAAUUUUUUAUAAGUUUGUUUUGUUUGUUUUACCUUGUGUAUCAGGAUUUAAUUAAAAUAUUUUAUUUAUUUACUUUUCUCGAUUUUAUAAGAGUUAAAUUUUAUAUGUUAGUUGUUGUGAUAUAAAUAUUAUUAAUAUAUAUUUGGUAAUGAAAUGUUAGUCGUUUUUAAUGGUAUCUAGUUUUUCAAGAAAUAAAUUUAAUUUACAUAUAUUCUUUAAUUUUUGUUUAUUUAUUAAAAGUGUUUUAGUUUAUGUGAAUAUUAUUAGGGAUAAUCUUAAUUAAUGUAUUUUCUAUAAUUAUAUUUUUUGUUUAUGUUUUAUGGAUUUAGUGGUGAUUAUUGAUUUGAGAAUGUAAAAGUUUUAUUUUUAUAUUAUUUGUUUUUUGUUUUAUUUAGGCUUUAUAUUGAAUAUAUUUAUUUAAUUUUUCAUUAUUUGUUAUUAUUUUAAUAUUAGUAAAUUUUAUUUUGUUUUUGUUAAUUAUUUUAGAUUAAUUCGGCAAAUUUUAUUUUCGACUGUUUAUCAAAAACAUUUUUUCUUGUUUUUAUUUGAAGUAUGACCUGCCCACUGAUAUUAUUAAAUGGCCGCGGUAAUUUGACUGUGCAAAGGUAGCAUAAUCAUUAGUUUCUUUAUUGGGGACUGGAAUGAAUGGUUUAACGAAAUAUAUACUGUGUUUAUUAUAUUUAUGAUUGAAUUUGAUUAUUGAGUUAAAAGGCUUAAAUUUUAUUAUGGGACGAGAAGACCCUAUAGAGUUUGAUAUUAUUGUUGGUUUAGUUUAUUGUUGUUAUUAUUAUUUUACUAUCAUUAUUAUUUGGUUGGGGUGAUCUUAAGAUAGAAUUAACUCUUAUGUUUUAUUUAAUAUGAAUUAAUAGGUUUAUUGAUCCUUUAUUUUUUGAUUAUAAGAUUAAAUUACCUUAGGGAUAACAGCGUUAUUUUUUUUGAGAGUUCUUAUUGAGAAUAAAGAUUGCGACCUCGAUGUUGGAUUAAGAUUAAUUUUGGGUGUAGAAGCUUAACUAAUUGAGUCUGUUCGACUUUUAAAAUCUUACAUGAUCUGAGUUCAAACCGGUGUAAGCCAGGUUGGUUUCUAUCUAUAGUUUACGAAGUAUUUUAGUACGAAAGGACCAUAUACUUUAAAUAAUUUGUUUUCUUUUUGUAUAAAUUUAAAUACUAUUUUGGCAGAUAAGUGUAAUAAAUUUAGAAUUUAUUUAUGUAGAUUUUUUCUAUAAGUAG
rnacentral:rRNA from 1 species